AAAAAUUUGAUCUCCUUAGCAUUAUCAUUUUUCAUAUAUCGAGCGGAAAAGAAUCGAAGAUGCAUUGUUUAUCCUAGUUAAGUCAAACGUACGUACAUGCGUACGUACUACUACUCUGUCCAUACAGCUAACAAAAAUCCGCGUCCUCGCUCGUAGAUAUGCACCACUUCCAUAAUGUAUACUGUCGUGUAGUAGCACCUCCCAGCACUAUAAAUUGACAAUGGUGAUCGUCGAAGUCUUGGCAUUCACAUCCUUCUAGUCUUUCUUGUGGGAUUUUUGAGUAGCAUAAGAGUUGGAGAAUCAUGAAAAUUUUCAGGAUUUUGAUUCUGCUGGGCCUCCUGUUUGGCUCUGUUGUUCUGGUCUCCUCCGCUGUUGAAGCUGAGACAACCAAAGAUGAGAAGAAAGCUUCAACAAAAGAUGAGAAGAAAGGUUAAUUUAUGGACUUCUGUAUGUUAGUUAAUAUUGGUUUACAUAUUCUGUAUGAAAAAUUUCAAGAUUGAGAUUUUGAAAGGCCUCCGGUAUGCUAGUUUAUACUUUACACAAUACACGUACCUAUGCACCCAUUACAUUUGCACGAUCGAUCCAAAGCACAUAUAUGCACCCAAUUAUUAUGGAACAAAGAAAAUGUGUACAAGAAUUUGAUAUGUCUUCAGUAAGUUCAUAAUAGUGUCGUAGUUCGAAAUUACACAUUCAUAGCUAGGGUUUUUUGUAUUCAUACUGCUCCGAUAUAUGUACUCGAUACUUGCUAAGGUCUACCAAGGGCUAAGAGAGAGAUAUAUAUGUUUGUAUAUGGUGCAGUGGAUGAGCCAAAGGAAGUUAACCAAGGUGGAGGUGGCAGAUAUUGUGGCCGGUGUUGCUAUCACUAUGGCCGUUACACUUGCGGCGGACAGUGUUGUUGGCCUGAAGAAUCAGAAGCGGUUGAGAAUGAGCCAAAGCAAGUUAACCAAGGUGGAGGUGGCAGAUAUUGUGGCCGGUGUUGCUAUCGCUAUGGCAGCUACACUUGCGGCGGACAGUGUUGUUGGCCUGCUGAGCAGUCCGAAGUAGUAGUUACCGAGGACAAUUUUGAAACAAAGCAGCCUGAUGGAUAUGGCGGCUGGGGAGGAGGGGGGACGGGUGUGCGGCGGCGGCUGGGGAGGAGGGGGACGCGGUGGCAGCGGUGGCGGGGGCAGGGGAGGAGGGGGACGCGGUGGCGGUGGAAGCGGGGGCAGGGGAGGAGGGGGACGAGGUGGCGGUGGCGGCGGGGGAAACUGAAGCCAUAUGCCUAGGUAUAGGCUCGAAGCUAGACCAACAACUUAAUAUAUAUAAGAGUCUACAUGUGCACAUGUACAGAGUUGUAGAAAAAUAUGAAUAAGCUCCGUGCAUACAUGUAUAUAGGAAUGGGAUCAUGUAGUAUAUAUGCACA
rnacentral:lncRNA from 1 species